CUCUUUGCAUUUGGUAAUAUUGAAUUUCAAUGCUGGAUUCUAGUGCUCCUCAAAGGGAGUUUCUGGCUGUUAAGAGAACAAAGCAGCAGAUUUCUUCCUGCAGUUUUGAAUCUAAAAUGCAUGUGCAGUGCCUCUAAUGCCUUUCUCCUUACUAUACCAGGCAUUUUACAUGGAGGGAGGAGUGACUUCAGACCGCUGUGUGUGUCCCCUUCCUCGAGCUGCUGAGCACAGCCAUAUUAAGGUUUUUCUGUGAGCUCAGUGCAUUACACUGAGAGGUUUGUGUGGUGUGUCCUGUGGUUAAUACUGCUCUUGGGAGCUGAGCGGGAGGGGAAAUGAAAGCUGAAUUGUCUGUCUCUUUAGUCAGGCAACCAUAUGUACAUCUGUUCAAGUGUGUGCUGGCAAUACUAAUCAAAGAGCUGCUGGCACAGCUGUGCUCAACAAACCCUCUGUUUUCCUGUAGCAGCCAAUGAUUUUGCUGAUCACCACAUAGUCUCCUACAGGCCACAGCACUCUUCUUAAUGUUUAUUUGACUCUGGCAACGAGAGAGCAGGGGCUGCAUUUUGUCCUGUCCCAGUCCCACAGCAAGUCCAACACUUUUUGCUGCUGUAAACAAAAGACAACCAGUGGAAGAGUGGAGGGAAUGCCCAGAGAGGUGAGCAAAUCUCAUGCACAUGCCAACUUCUUUAACCGUAUUAUUUCCACCAGUAGAAGAUGCAUGAACUUCUUUGUCCUGGCUCCUCAGUGGGACACAAGUGCUAACUAGAGUGGUGGGAACAGGUCUGUGCAUCACCUUACCCUUCAGGCAAAAGAAGCCUCAUCAGCCUCAGCUCCAAUGUCAAAGCCCCAUGCUGGGCUAGCCUGUGUGCUGUCCUGCAGCCCUACAUGUUAAUACACUCAAAGAGAAGGAGUAAAUCUUGUCUGUGUCUCUCACGUUAUCUAUCUUGUCUGCCUCUGUGCCUCUCCCUCCCACCUUUCUGCAGAGAUAAAUCAAAGGCCAAGUAUGCCCUCACGCAGCAUAGGCACCACAGCAAGGCUUGGCUUUUGCAGUCUCCCAGGGCCAGUGCCUGGCCCGCUGCUGCUUGCCAGAAUAAGCAAAUGUAAUUACCUGUGUUAAUA
ensembl:lncRNA